rnacentral:rRNA from 1 species
GGGUUGUGAGGUUAAGCGACUAAGCGUACACGGUGGAUGCCCUGGCAGUCAGAGGCGAUGAAGGACGUGCUAAUCUGCGAUAAGCGUCGGUAAGGUGAUAUGAACCGUUAUAACCGGCGAUUUCCGAAUGGGGAAACCCAGUGUGAUUCGUCACACUAUCAUUAACUGAAUCCAUAGGUUAAUGAGGCGAACCGGGGGAACUGAAACAUCUAAGUACCCCGAGGAAAAGAAAUCAACUGAGAUUCCCCCAGUAGCGGCGAGCGAACGGGGAGGAGCCCAGAGCCUGAAUCAGUGUGUGUGUUAGUGGAAGCGUCUGGAAAGGCGCGCGAUACAGGGUGACAGCCCCGUACACAAAAAUGCACAUGCUGUGAGCUCGAUGAGUAGGGCGGGACACGUGGUAUCCUGUCUGAAUAUGGGGGGACCAUCCUCCAAGGCUAAAUACUCCUGACUGACCGAUAGUGAACCAGUACCGUGAGGGAAAGGCGAAAAGAACCCCGGCGAGGGGAGUGAAAAAGAACCUGAAACCGUGUACGUACAAGCAGUGGGAGCACAGAGCAGUCUGUGUGACUGCGUACCUUUUGUAUAAUGGGUCAGCGACUUAUAUUCUGUAGCAAGGUUAACCGAAUAGGGGAGCCGAAGGGAAACCGAGUCUUAACUGGGCGUUAAGUUGCAGGGUAUAGACCCGAAACCCGGUGAUCUAGCCAUGGGCAGGUUGAAGGUUGGGUAACACUAACUGGAGGACCGAACCGACUAAUGUUGAAAAAUUAGCGGAUGACUUGUGGCUGGGGGUGAAAGGCCAAUCAAACCGGGAGAUAGCUGGUUCUCCCCGAAAGCUAUUUAGGUAGCGCCUCGUGAAUUCAUCUCCGGGGGUAGAGCACUGUUUCGGCAAGGGGGUCAUCCCGACUUACCAACCCGAUGCAAACUGCGAAUACCGGAGAAUGUUAUCACGGGAGACACACGGCGGGUGCUAACGUCCGUCGUGAAGAGGGAAACAACCCAGACCGCCAGCUAAGGUCCCAAAGUCAUGGUUAAGUGGGAAACGAUGUGGGAAGGCCCAGACAGCCAGGAUGUUGGCUUAGAAGCAGCCAUCAUUUAAAGAAAGCGUAAUAGCUCACUGGUCGAGUCGGCCUGCGCGGAAGAUGUAACGGGGCUAAACCAUGCACCGAAGCUGCGGCAGCGACGCUUAUGCGUUGUUGGGUAGGGGAGCGUUCUGUAAGCCUGCGAAGGUGUGCUGUGAGG